UGGAAAAUAACACAAUAUGACUCACUGUAGCUACAAUAAACUCUCACAUUUAUUAAAGUUAACCACCGCUAACCUAAAUAAACCUACAUUGUUACGGACAGGAUAUUCAACAUCCACCACUACGCUGCAAAUAUGUCAUACGUUUUCAUAAGACCUCAGGUCCUGAGAGGGCGUUGCAGGAGAGACAGAAGCAGCACAUGGCACGCAAAAAAAACCAUUGCUGGAGUGAAACAAUGAAUUUGGCCGUUGGAUUCGCAGCUAAUGAUCCAACAAUCUCUGAGACCACUUGUGAAUUUUGGGAUUCCUUGUAUGUCCAUGGAGUUUCUGGUCGAGGAUGUAGCACCCAUUGUCUGGUAGAUGGGGGACUGCUGGAGUACCUGGCUAUUGACAUGCCACCUGGAACUGGAGAUGUUCAGUUAUCAAUCACUCAGAAUAUCCCAAUAGCAGGAGCAGUGAUUGUGUCCACUCCUCAGGAUAUUGCCUUGCUGGAUGCACGCAGAGGAGCAUAAAUGUUCAGAAAAGUCAAUAUCCCAGUAAGAGCAUUGGAUGCUAAAUGCCACUUUGUAUCAACUCCACAUAAUUAUGAAAAAGGUCUUACUUAAAUUAUUUUCAAAUGACCUUGGUAAGGACAAAAUACACAUUUGUGAGAUUGAGCUACAUUUGAAGUCGGAAGUUUACAUACACUUAGGUUGGAGUCAUUAAAAC